GAUGAACGCUGGCGGCGUGCCUAAUACAUGCAAGUCGAGCGAACAGACGAGGAGCUUGCUCCUCUGACGUUAGCGGCGGACGGGUGAGUAACACGUGGAUAACCUACCUAUAAGACUGGGAUAACUUCGGGAAACCGGAGCUAAUACCGGAUAACAUGUUGAACCGCAUGGUUCAACAGUGAAAGACGGUUUUGCUGUCACUUAUAGAUGGAUCCGCGCCGCAUUAGCUAGUUGGUAAGGUAACGGCUUACCAAGGCAACGAUGCGUAGCCGACCUGAGAGGGUGAUCGGCCACACUGGAACUGAGACACGGUCCAGACUCCUACGGGAGGCAGCAGUAGGGAAUCUUCCGCAAAGGGCGAAAGCCUGACGGAGCAACGCCGCGUGAGUGAAGAAGGUCUUCGGAUCGUAAAACUCUGUUAUUAGGGAAGAACAAAUGUGUAAGUAACCAUGCACGUCUUGACGGUACCUAAUCAGAAAGCCACGGCUAACUACGUG
rnacentral:rRNA from 1 species